GAUGAACGCUGGCGGCGUGCCUAAUACAUGCAAGUCGAGCGAACGGAUCAGAAGUUUUCUCCUCUGAUUUUAGCAGCGGACGGGUGAUUAACUUUUGUAUAACCUACCUAUAAGACUGGGAUAACUUCGCGAAACAGGAGCUAAUACCGAAUAAUAUUUUGAACCGCAUGGUUCAAAAUUGAAAUACGGUCUUGCUGUCAUUUAUAGAUGCAUCCGCGCUGCAUUAUCUAGUUGGUAAGGUAACGGCUUACCAAGGCAACGAUGGAUAGCCGACCUGACAGGGUGAUCGGCCAGCCUGGAACUGAGAAACGGUCCAGACUCCUACGGGAGGCAGCAGUAGGGAAUCUUCCGCAAGGGGCGAAAGCCUGACGGAGCAACGCCGCGUGAGGGAUGAAGGUCUUCGGAUCGUAAAACGCUGUUAUUAGGGAAGAACAUAUGUGUAAGUAACUGUGCAGAUCUUGACGGUACCUAAUCAGAAAGCCACGGCUAACUACGUG
rnacentral:rRNA from 1 species